UUUGACAUGCAGGUGGUAGGAACCGAAAGGCGACCGACCUUCGGGGAGCUUGCACAGGUGCUGCAUGGCUGUCGUCAGCUCGUGUCGUGAGAUGUUCGGUUAAGUCCGCUAACGAGCGCAACCCUCGCUGUGUGUUACAAGUGUCACACGGUACUGCCGGUCUUAAGCCGGAGGAAGGUGGGGAUGACGUCAAGUCAGCAUGGCCUUUAUGUCCUGGGCUACACACACGCUACAAUGGCCAACACAAUAGGUUGCUAAGCCGCGAGGUGGAGCCAAUCCUCAAAGUUGGUCUCAGUUCAGAUUGCAGGCUGCAACCCGCCUGCAUGAAGAUGGAGUUGCUAGUAACCGCAGGUCAGCUAUACUGCGGUGAAUACGUUCCCGGGCCUU
rnacentral:rRNA from 1 species